rnacentral:miRNA from 1 species
AACAGAUAUGUAUAUAUAUAUAUACACACACACACACUGACACGCACACACACAAAUAUAUGUAUAUGUAUGUGUGUGUGUGUGUGUGUAUAUAUAUAUAUAAAAU